ACUCAAAGGAAUUGACGGGGGCCCGCACAAGCGGAGGAACAUGUGGUUUAAUUCGAUGAUACGCGAGGAACCUUACCCGGGCUUGAAUUGCAGGAGAACGAUCCAGAGAUGGUGAGGUCCUUCGGGACUCCUGUGAAGGUGCUGCAUGGUUGUCGUCAGCUCGUGCCGUGAGGUGUCGGCUUAAGUGCCAUAACGAGCGCAACCCCUUUCCUCAGUUGCCAUCAGGUAGAGCUGGGCACUCUGGGGACACUGCCACCGCAAGGUGUGAGGAAGGUGGGGAUGACGUCAAAUCAGCACGGCCCUUACGUCCGGGGCUACACACGUGUUACAAUGGGGGGUACAGAGAGCCGGUGGCGCGCAAGCUCCAUCCAAUCCUUAAAGCCCUCCUCAGUUCGGACUGGGGUCUGCAACCCGACCCCACGAAGCUGGAUUCGCUAGUAAUCGCGCAUCAGCCAUGGCGCGGUGAAUACGUUCCCGGGCCUUGCACACACCGCCCGU
rnacentral:rRNA from 1 species